rnacentral:rRNA from 1 species
UGGGGAAUAUUGCACAAUGGGCGCAAGCCUGAUGCAGCCAUGCCGCGUGUGUGAAGAAGGCCUUCGGGUUGUAAAGCACUUUCAGCGGGGAGGAAGGCGUUAAGGUUAAUAACCUUGGCGACUGACGUUACCCGCAGAAGAAGCACCGGCUAACUCCGUGCCAGCAGCCGCGGUAAUACGGAGGGUGCAAGCGUUAAUCGGAAUUACUGGGCGUAAAGCGCACGCAGGCGGUCUGUCAAGUCGGAUGUGAAAUCCCCGGGCUCAACCUGGGAACUGCAUUCGAGACUGGCAGGCUAGAGACUUGUAGAGGGGGGUAGAAUUCCAGGUGUAGCGGUGAAAUGCGUAGAGAUCUGGAGGAAUACAGGUGGCGAAGGCGGCCCCCUGGACAAAGACUGACGCUCAGGUGCGAAAGCGUGGGGGGCAAACAGG